GACGAACGCUGGCGGCGUGCUUAACACAUGCAGGUCGAACGAUGAAGUUCCUUCGGGAAUGGAUUAGUGGCGAACGGGUGAGGAACACGUGAACAAUCUGCCCCUUACACGGGAAUAACUUCGGGAAACCGAAGCUAAUACCCGAUAUUGAAUUCGGUAGGCAUCUACUGAAUUUGAAAUGGGCCGCCGGUAAGGGAGGAGUUCGCGGGCUAUCAGCUUGUUGGUGAGGUAACGGCUCACCAAGGCGACGACGGGUAGCCGGCCUGAGAGGGCGACCGGACACACUGGGACUGAGACACGGCCCAGACUCCUACGGGAGGCAGCAGUGGGGAAUAUUGGACAAUGGGCGAAAGCCUGAUCCAGCAAUGCCGCGUGAGUGAUAAAGGCCCUAGGGUUGUAAAGCUCUUUUACCCGGGAUGAUAAUGACAGUACCGGGAGAAUAAGCCCCGGCUAACUCCGUGCCAGCAGCCGCCGUAA
rnacentral:rRNA from 1 species